AGGGGAAGUGUGCAAAGAAAAUGUCCUUGAAUGUAUAAAAUAUACUCCAAGUGCUAGUGGGCAAAAUGCAUGUAUGCAAUUUAGAGAAAAGUGUGAAAGUGUCGGUGUGCAAAUGAAGAUGAAAGUACUCGUGUGCGAGUGAGGAUAAAAGUGUUCGUGUGCAAGUGAAGAUAAAAGUGUUCGUGUGCAAGUGAAAGUGAUAAAAAGGUGCAUGUGUGCAAAUGAGACAAAAGUGAAAGUGUGAUGAUAGAG
rnacentral:lncRNA from 1 species